rnacentral:rRNA from 1 species
UACGUAGGUGGCAAGCGUUGUUCGGAAUUACUGGGCGUAAAGGGCGCGUAGGCGGCCUUCUAAGUCGAACGUGAAAUCCCCGGGCUCAACCCGGGAACUGCGUCCGAUACUGGGAGGCUUGAAUCCGGGAGAGGGAUGUGGAAUUCCAGGUGUAGCGGUGAAAUGCGUAGAUAUCUGGAGGAACACCGGUGGCGAAGGCGGCAUCCUGGACCGGUAUUGACGCUGAGGCGCGAAAGCCAGGGGAGCAAACGGG